GAUGAACGCUGGCGGCGUGCCUAACACAUGCAAGUCGAGCGAACCCUUCGGGGUGAGCGGCGGACGGGUGAGUAACGCGUGGGUAACCUGCCCUGUACACACGGAUAACAUACCGAAAGGUAUGCUAAUACGGGAUAACAUAUGAGAGUCGCAUGGCUUUUAUAUCAAAGCUCCGGCGGUACAGGAUGGACCCGCGUCUGAUUAGCUAGUUGGUAAGGUAACGGCUUACCAAGGCAACGAUCAGUAGCCGACCUGAGAGGGUGAUCGGCCACAUUGGAACUGAGACACGGUCCAAACUCCUACGGGAGGCAGCAGUGGGGAAUAUUGCACAAUGGGCGAAAGCCUGAUGCAGCAACGCCGCGUGAGCGAUGAAGGCCUUCGGGUCGUAAAGCUCUGUCCUCAAGGAAGAUAAUGACGGUACUUGAGGAGGAAGCCCCGGCUAACUACGUGCCAGCAGCCGCGGUAAUACGUAGGGGGCUAGCGUUAUCCGGAAUUACUGGGCGUAAAGGGUGCGUAGGCGGUCUUUCAAGCCAGAAGUGAAAGGCUACGGCUCAACCGUAGUAAGCUUUUGGAACUGUAGGACUUGAGUGCAGGAGAGGAGAGUGGAAUUCCUAGUGUAGCGGUGAAAUGCGUAGAUAUUAGGAGGAACACCAGUAGCGAAGGCGGCUCUCUGGACUGUAACUGACGCUGAGGCACGAAAGCGUGGGGAGCAAACAGG
rnacentral:rRNA from 1 species